GACGGAGGAUGCAAGUGUUAUCCGGAAUCACUGGGCGUAAAGCGUCUGUAGGUGGUUUAAUAAGUCAACUGUUAAAUCUUGAGGCUCAACCUCAAAAUCGCAGUCGAAACUAUUAGGCUAGAGUAUAGUAGGGGUAAAGGGAAUUUCCAGUGGAGCGGUGAAAUGCGUAGAGAUUGGAAAGAACACCAUGGCGAAGGCACUUUACUGGGCUAUUACUAACACUCAGAGACGAAAAGCUAGGGUAGCAAAUGGG
rnacentral:rRNA from 1 species